rnacentral:tRNA from 1 species
GGGUGAUUGGCUCAGUUGGUUAGAGUGCUUCGGUGACAUCGAAGAGGUCACUGGUUCGAAUCCAGUAUCACCCA